GAUAACCAACACUGGCAUUUCACUUGCAAGGAUGCAGUACUAUGAUCGAUAUUUCUGUUCUACUGAUAAAUCUUACUUAAUUUGCCUGCUAGUCACCUAAAUCAGUAUUCUGGUGCUUAAGUGACAACGAUAUGUUGCUGCAGCAUACUAUUUUCUAUCCCUUGUAACUAUUUGGUUGUUUCACCAAAAACAAUCGUUCAAGCAUUUUAGUCCACAAACUAAACAAGCGGAUCAUUCAUAGAGGAUACAGAAAAUCUCAGAGACUUGAUGAGUGCUUGGGAACACCGGUGUGCUUCAAGAAGCAAGCCACCAAUGUCGGAUAACCUCAUCACCGACAUCUCCAGCCUAGCCUGUCCCUCACUGAGGCCCCUCACUGGGAUGUGUGCAUGCACAGAGUUCUCUAGGAGGAAAGAAACAUGCAUAACACUUGCUCUGUACGAUGCAGAAUAAAGACUGCAAAAAAGAAGAGUGUCACAGUUUCAAUACAAAAUUAUUCUGUGAAGUAGCUGAAUGUAAAAUGCAUAUGUAUCUGAUGCAGCAACCAAGUAUGUGAGUAUACCUGAAACUGUGAUCUGAAUAAUAGCUGGACAGUGCCAGGAAACUUUCUUUGUUCGAUGCAGAGUUAAUACUGCAAAAAGAAAGAUCGGGGUGGCAACCUUCAAAGCCAGGUUGAACUCCUAAUUACAACGAUUCAGCCACAACAUCUUUCUCGAUCCACCUUUUAAUUUACCACCAAAACUAUCGAAGAUUGCAAGCAGAAGAGGGUCAGUUCACAAAUCACAUGAGAAGUCCGAAAUCCCAGCAUCUAACAGAAAAUGUUUUGCUACUGGACAUGGAAAAAUAAAUCAUCAAAAGACUCGAAUUAUCACAAAAUUGACAACUUCUAUCUCCUUGCUAUCAUCUCUUGGUCAAUUUUUAUUUGGCCAGAAUGCUUUUGUAGUAAGUUAGUAACUAAACAAAGAUUGGUAUUGAUCUUCAAAGGAUCUUUAGAAACACAUAAUGACCAAUGAAACCAAAAAGGGAACAUGCCAUGAUACAGAGCAUGAACUUUAAUAGCACAUACUGCAACAAAAUAUAUGUACAUGUCAACUCUUGUGAUUAGUAACCAUGACCUCGAAUCAGUGCCGAG
rnacentral:lncRNA from 1 species